rnacentral:pre_miRNA from 1 species
CCACAUCUUCAUGUUUGUCUAUAUCUUCAUGUUGGUCUACAUCUUCGAUGUAGACCAACAUGAAGAUGUAGACCAACAUGAACAUGUAGA